CUAGGGUUUCUCAUCUCUCGUUUGAUUUUGUCCGCCGCUCAUCUUCUCAUCCUCUCUCUCUAUGGCGAUUCCUGGCGAUUCAUCAGGCCUCUCUCUCGGAUCUCGCCAGAUCUCUCACCAGAUCUAUGAGGAUUUCACCAGAUCGAUGAAGAGCUUGUGAAGGUGUUGACUGAAUUAUGGAUUGUUUUUGAUCGAUUGGUAGAUCCUUUGUAAUAAUCUAUUUACCAAGCCCAAUAUUGGUCCGCAAAUUAAUGCAUCAACAGUUGGGAAAGCUCUGGUUGUGGAUAUCUGUUGGAGCACUCCUUGGGUUUUUGAUUAUCUUCAACAUAUUCUUUAUCGUAGCACUAACUUCCCUGAAUCCCCCGGUGUGAUGCUAAACCUGUGAUCAGAGAGGAAAAUGAUAUAAAGAAUUCAAAAAAUAACAGCUUACAGUAGGCUCAGCUGGGAUGGUCAAUCACAUGAGCUUUGGUGGACUUCCCGUGAAAACUGAGACAGCUGAAGAAGCUGAUGAACUUAUGAGAGUAGAUGAAAAGGCAUCUGAAGUUGAGGUAGAAGUUCUUUCAGCCCCUCCAAAGUUAGUUUACUGUAAAUUAAUCUUGCGCUUCACUAGAAAGCUAUUGGUGGCUGUAGCAGACAAGUGGGAUAGUCAUGUUCUGGUCAUGGACAAAGUUGCUCCACAAAACUGGAAGGUUUAAACAACAUGCUUGGUUAUUAUGUUAUCUUUAUAGCAAACUCGGUUUUUAGCAAAAUCAGUUGAUCUGUUGUAAAGUGGUUUAAUCAAAUAGAAGAAACAAGUGACAUAGUUGGUUUUGAGAAAGACCAGUUAAUCUGUCUUUUAACUAUUAUAUUUAUCAGUUUUUUCAUGUGGUUUUUUGUUAUUUCAAUCUAAUUUAGAAGUUAUUGAUAUACACAAGGUUUAAAAAAACGGAAACGAGUUUCGAGGCGUUUUCCCUUCGCCUCACGAGGCGUAAGCCUCGAGGCGAACCGAGGCGUAAGCCCGAGGCGGAAUUAAAAAAAUAAAUAUAAAAUUGUAUAUCUUAUAAAAUAAUAAUACUAACUAAAUUCAUCAUCAAAAUCAUCAAAAACAAACAUAAAAAAGACAUAAAUUGCUUGAAAUUGACAUAAAAAGUCAAAAACAAAUAUCAGAAACCCCUGAGGCGCAGCUUUUUUAGCGCCUCAGCCUCUUUGAGGCGCAUGUACACUAGAAACCCCCUGAGGCGUGCCUCAGAGUCGUUUUUUGGGCGUUUCGCCUUGAGGCGCGCCUCGAGGCGCACGCCUCAGCCGUUUUUUAAAACCAUGGAUAUACAGAAUGGAGUCAGCUUACAGGACAUGGGUCAGACAGAAGAAAGAAGGGGUUAAAUCAGUUGAUUUGGAUGAUCUUUGUAGGGAGCUUCAAACUGCUUUAGGCACAACAAAGUGGCAGAGACAAGAAAAAGUGUGUUUGUGAGAGAGAGAGAGAGAGAGCGACGGGAAGGAGAGUCCUUGGAGAAGGUAGAGGUGGCAAAGGGAACUAGGGUUCUAGCGACGAAUGUCUAUCUAGGUACUCAUUGAGAGUUUGAGACCUCGAAUCCAUCUAUUGCUUAACGAAUCAGGGAUAAUCUUGACAGGUUAUAAAGCUGGAGCCUCAUAUACAGAUGAAUGGGUCAAACGGUUCAAACUGGUCAGAUGUGUUGCAGCACUGGGUCAUCCAGUCACGUUAUUUUCUGUUUUAUUGGGUCUAAAUAAAAUGAUUUUGUUUUCAGUUGACCCACCCAAAACUUCAAUGUUCGUUCUUAACAACGAAGAGAUCACCUGCAGGCUACAUACGCAAGUUUUGAGGGGACGGGAUGACGGUGGUCAGGCAUCACUCUGGAGCAUAUUUCCAAAAGCAGUUGUCUAUUGUCAUGUUAAAGAGGCCAAGCAAAAUGUAUCAAGUUAAUUUGGCACACAAAGCGGAAGGAGGGAGCCUAAUGACUUCAAGAACUCCAACACAAACCAUGCUGAAUAUCGAAAUGAAGAGGCCAGUCCUGAUUCGUUGAAGCUGGGUCAACCCAUUUUAUUGACCUGUGAGUCUCCUGGCCACGCGAACUAUAACACGGUCGUAUACAGGGACCCAGAAUACUACGCUUAUAGUGUCGAAAAUCCCGAGUGAAGCUGGUGGAAUCUCGAAUAGGUUACUCAUUUGUGAGUAAACUGUGGCGAACAUGAUACCCGUGGCCCAAUAUUGGAAGCAACCGUAACACUGCUUUCAGUUCCUCAACCUGACUCACUGAGCAAAGCCUCCAUGGGUCUAUCGACCCGUUUGUAUGAUCCGUGGGUGCAACCACAGCUGCCUUAUCCAAAAAACUGUAAGUGAACAAGAUGUUGAUGAAUUUAUGAUCAGUAUUUUGACCUGUUUUACCAAAACAAUGAUUAAAUGAUUUUACAAGUAAUGACCUACCCAAAAUCUAAAGAGUGAUUGAUCUUGCUAGCAUCUGAAGUCUCGUAUAAGAGUGAACUAUCAGACGACACCUCGAUAUUUUUCUUUCAAAAAGAAGCAACCGCCACCUGGCAGAGACGAACGAGCGGGCUGCCACCUGGCAACUGGUUCCAAUAAAAUUAGAUCAUUUGAUGUAGUUAACUAUAUAGUAGUCACAAGCGCCCUAGAGCGUAGACGCAAGCCUAGGCUCUUAGGGCGAGGCGAGGCACAACCAAAUCGCCUCAAACACACUCAGGUGCUAAAAACGCUCUGCACCAGCCUGAGUGGACCUGAACGAGCCUUGUGGUUCCUUUGUUUGACUUGAAUCCACUCUAUAGUCAUCUGCCAAAUUUCAUUAAAACCGCACUAAAAAAUACAUAACAAAUAAAAAAUAUAUUAGAUCUAUCAUAUCUGUGAUGAUCAGUAUUUUACUCUUAGUAAAAGAUAGUUCCAGUUAUUGUGUUGACUAUCACAUAGGUAAUCGAACCAUUUAAGAUAAGUAGUAUAGUAUCUUCUGGAGGUAAGAAGAGUUAACUUCAAUAAGUUAUUGAAACUAUUAACAGGCUUCUCAACGUGACCUGGUUUUGGGGUUGUUCAUGUAGGUAAGUUGUGGCGUUUCAUUGGUAAGUAAAAUGAAAGCGUGUUGCUAUUAUGUGGUAUUUCGACUUUUGAGCGGAGAAAGAAAUAGUUGUUUGGUUUACAUACGAACUGAUUCAGAAAUGGUUGCUUUAUUUUAGUUUAGUGCUGAUGUUCAUUUUGGGUAAUUAACAAUAAGUAUGAAAAUACUUGCAGAUGUUGAUCGUUGUGAUCAAUUUGAAGUUUGUUUUUAUUAUUGCCAUUCCAUAAUGAUGAUUAUAGAAUCAAGUUACAAAAAAGUAGGUUGGCUAAUCACUGUAUUUUGGUUAACUGUUGCAUUUCAGUUUGAUGCUGCUGGUGUUUUUCGUUUAUCCUUUAUUGCCUGCGAGAUCUCAAAAAACAUGCUGGAAAUAUUAUUGCAGUUAUUAUUGUUAUUUAAUAUGAAGUUUGUCUAUAAUAUUGACAUAAUAUGAAGUGGGUUAGUAUGAUGGUGAGAUGGCCUUUAUUAUUGCGUUUUUA